AAUAUAAGUUAAAAAUUUGAAAACGUAUUCAAAAGAUGAAAAAGGAAUAUUACCAUGUAAAAAUAUAAUUACUGAAAUGAAAAAUAUGUGUGCUACUAAAAAACAUACAAUGUACAUAUUAUAAAUGAAACAUAUCUCCAGUUAAAAGAAAGGUUCGAUAAAUCAAAAGCAGGCUAACGUCUAUGGCACAAUGUAUCACAGAAACGAAUUUAAGGGAUUAAAAAUGCUUGUCGAAAAAAGUGAGUUUUUAAGUUCUUUUUGAAUACAGGCACCGACUUUGCAUUUUGAAGUUUUUUUGGUAAUGCAUUCCAAAGGAUGGCCGCUGCUUGAUCAAAUCUUCUAUUGCCGUAGGUUUUGGUUCGCAC
rnacentral:lncRNA from 1 species